UAGCAAGGGCUUGAGUAUUUGCCCCGCUGUGGUAGUGUCGGGGCUUGCGUCGAUGACGCCAAAGCAUUCGAAAACCCCGCCUUUGGGCGUAAUGCUGGUCACUUAGGGCUGCUCUGCAGCCCAAACACUCUCAAGUGAACAGCACUACGCGCAUAGGGCGGGGUUUUGCUUUAUC
rfam:Pseudomonas sp. TRMO17WK12:I11 isolate Yellow genome assembly, chromosome: 1